CCUACGGGAGGCAGCAGUAGGGAAUUUUCCACAAUGGGCGCAAGCCUGAUGGAGCCACACCGCGUGAGUGAAGAAGGGUUUCGGCUCGUAAAGCACUGUUGUUGGGGACGAACGUGCGUGAGAGUAUCUGUUCACGCAGUGACGGUAUCCAACGAGAAAGUCACGGCUAACUACGUGCCAGCAGCCGCGGUAAUACGGAGGUGGCAAGCGUUAGCCGGAUUUAUUGGGCGUAAAGCGAGCGCAGGCGGUUGUUUAUGUCUGAUGUGAAAGCCUUCGGCUUAACCUGAGAAGUGCAUCGGAAACCGGGAGGCUUGAGUGCAGAAGAGGACAGUAGAACUCCAGGUGUAGCGGUGGAAUGCGUAGAGAUAUGGAAGAAUACCGGUGGCGAAGGCGGCUGCCUGGUCGGCAACUGACGCUGAGGCGCGAAAGCAUGGGGAGCGAACAGGAUUAGAUACCCUUGUAGUC
rnacentral:rRNA from 1 species